rnacentral:sRNA from 1 species
GGCGAGGUCUCGCCUUUUGUAUUUUCACUGACUCAUAUUUCCUUUACUCAGGCUCCCACAUCAGGGCGUGAAGGAGCCCACGAGUUACCGUGGGAGCUGUGGGAGCUGCCCUGUGACUGUUAGGAAGAUGCCGUACCUUGGCUCCGAGGACGUGGUGAAGGAGGUGAAGAAGGCUCUGUGUAAUCCUCACAUUCAAGCUGAUAGGCUGCGCUACCGGAAUGUCAUCCAGCGAGUGAUUAGAUCUGGCUCUCCUGGCCAUCAAUACGCUGUGCAAAGACUGCUCAGACCCCAAUCCAAUGGUGCGAGGGCUGGCGUUACGGAGCAUGUGUAGCCUCAGGAUGCCUGGUGUGCAGGAGUAUAUACAACAGCCUAUUCUCAACGGUCUGCGGGAUAAGGCUUCAUAUGUCAGGAGAGUGGCAGUCCUUGGAUGUGCCAAGAUGCAUAAUCUUCAUGGAGACUCUGAAGUAGAUGGUGCCCUGGUAAAUGAAUUAUACAGUUUGCUGCGUGACCAGGAUCCAAUUGUAGUUGUGAACUGCUUGAGGUCUCUAGAGGAAAUUCUGAAACAGGAAGGAGGCGUUGUCAUCAAUAAGCCCAUUGCUCACCAUCUCUUAAAUCGGAUGUCAAAACUGGACCAAUGGGGCCAAGCUGAAGUAUUGAACUUUCUGCUACGCUACCAACCCCGCAGUGAGGAAGAACUAUUUGACAUUCUCAAUCUGUUGGAUAGUUUCCUCAAGAGCAGUAGCCCAGGUGUGGUGAUGGGAGCUACCAAACUUUUUCUGAUCUUGGCAAAAAAGUUUCCCCACGUACAAACUGAUGUCCUUGUGCGGGUCAAGGGACCUUUGCUAGCUGCCUGUUCUUCAGAGAGCCGUGAGCUCUGUUUUGUUGCUCUUUGUCAUGUACGCCAGAUCUUGCAUAGUUUACCAGGUCACUUUAGCAGCCACUACAAAAAGUUUUU